rnacentral:piRNA from 1 species
GGCAGAGAAUGAAUUUAGGCUUGCGC